rnacentral:misc_RNA from 1 species
AACGCAUAUUGCGCCCUUUGGUACUCCGAAGGGCAUGCCUGUUCGAGCGUCAUUAUCAACCUCUCAAGCUUGGCUUGUCGUUGGACCUUGCGGAUGCCGGUAAUCGGCGGGGGCAGGUCUUCAACCUAGUGGCGGAGUUCGGAGUGGACCCCGGAUACAACGAGCUCUCUCUAGCAUGUAUCAAGGUGGCCCGCCGACCUAGCCUCGUCGAAACGUCUUUAAUCAUGGUUGACCUCGGAUCAGGUAGGAGAACCCGCUGAACUUAA